rnacentral:rRNA from 1 species
AGAUUGAACGCUGGCGGCAUGCCUUACACAUGCAAGUCGAACGCGAAAGGGGGGGCAACCCCCGAGUAGAGUGGCGAACGGGUGAGUAAUACAUCGGAACGUGUCCAGUAGCGGGGGAUAACCUCUCGAAAGAGAGGCUGAUACCGCAUACGACCUACGGGUGAAAGAGGGGGAUCGCAAGACCUCUCACUAUUGGAGCGGCCGAUGUCGGAUUAGCUAGUUGGCGGGUAACGCCACCAGGCGACGAUCAGUAGCUGGUCUGAGAGGACGACCAGCCACACUGGGACUGAGACACGGCCCAGACUCCGUACGGGAGCAGCAAGUGGGAAUUUGGACAAAGUGGGACGCAAGACCCUGAUCCAGCCAGUCGCCGCGUGACGGAAGAAGGUCCGUUACGGGUUCGGUAACCGUCGUUUUA